CCUGGUGCUUUGAGCGCGGUGGUCCCACGCCUACUCCAUCUCGAACUAGGACGUGAAACGCCGCAGCGGCGAAGAUACUUGGCGGGUUGCUGCCUGGGAAAAUAGCUCAGUGCCAGGG
rfam:Planktothricoides sp. SR001 contig_7, whole genome shotgun sequence.